AUGGAUUUUUUGAUUUCUUUACACUUUCAUUCUUGCGUUGUCCCUAGUUCUGUUUCUUACUCCACAAACGCCGUAAACCCUCAAAUAUUAAUCUAAUCGUCAGCUAAAAAGGAUUCGGAGCAAUCGGAAUGUGGUUUCAGUGCAGUAAUUCGUCCUGUCCGGAUUAGUUGGCCCAUUUGGCCCUUCAGAAACUGCCGGGUUGCGUUUCUGAAGGGCCAGAUUAAAGGCCCCUAAAAGAGGCUUAAAACUCCCCAUAAAUCCGGGAGCAGGAUAGCUGCAGGGCAACAGCGAUGAAGGCAGUAAUGCGAGAUGGGUUAAGGUUAGCAGUAGUGGACCUUGAACCCCGACAAAGCGGAGAGACCGUGAACUAUCGGUACCGCGCUGGACACCGUGAACUAGACGGAGCAACUGCCCGCAGCAGACGGCGAUUACUGUUUCUGAAACACCGUACCCCCAAAAUAUAAACUUGGUGGGACGAACAAACAAACUCUGAGCUAGCCGAAAACAGUUCGUUACAUUUGGCGCCCAAAUUAAUAGUGCAGAUCAAGGACCCAGAAUGGAGGGGACCAACGUCAUCCUGCUCAAGGAGCAGGAGGAGCUUCAGGUUGAUGGGACGGGAAACGCGGUGUUUUGAGGCGAGUAAACGAAAAACCGACGACGAGUGGGUAGGGACAUCGUGAAAAUGGCAGGGAUCAAAGCAGUGGUCGCCAACAUCAGGAGCAAGGAAGACACCAUAAAGCUGUUAUUGAGGAAAACGAAACACGACAGUCGGCAUCAAACCAGUGGCGAAAAUUGUGAUGAGGGUGUGCGAUAUCAGCGGUCGAUCGAUAGGAAAUGGAUUUUCAACACGCGGUCACAAUGUGGGGAGCAAUCGGCAAAACAUGGGAACACCUAUAUGAACAGGAAGUAGCAAUGCCGAUUUAAGCGGGCAGUGUAGCCAGGGAUUUCGAAGAUAAGCGCCACCUAACAACGAUUAACGUCGGUAUACUAUUGAUUUCGCAACACACUAAGCGGCAGGCUUGCAUUAACGUUAACGCUAUAAAACUUUCCGUAGUCUAUCACUAGAGAGCUAUCACAUAGUGAAUAGAAGGUAGCAGACUUUUCUUUAGGAUUCUGAUUCUCUUUUGUGACGCCGAUCAGAUCCCGUUUCGUUGAACUAAGGCGAUAAGGUGAUGAAUGCCAAUUCUUUUUCGAAACCAGUUGAUACUGCUGAUCUUAGGUAUUUUUAAACAAAGUCGAUUUUUUUUUAUCAUGCUUGUUCCAAUUGUCCAAAAUGCUUUUCGUAUCUGGUUCGAAAAAUGAUCACAGCUGGUUGAUUUGCAAAAAAAGAACUGUACAAUAGAAAAAUUUUUAAAAUUUCA
ensembl:ncRNA lncRNA:CR40053 long non-coding RNA:CR40053